UUUUUUUUUUUUUUUUUUUUUUUUUAAUUUUUUUAAAUACCGGUAUUGAAAGUUGCCAUAUUGAAAUAGUUUUCCUUAAUUGAGACAUGACAGGAAACUAAUUGAUUUAGAGAUGAUAUUAUAAACAGCAAUGAGCCGCCACUAACAGUAGAAGUGAAUGUGACCAGCUGUAAUGGCUUGGUUCUGAGUCGGUUUUUUUUUUUUUUUUUUUUUUU